rnacentral:lncRNA from 1 species
AGCCUUGCUCUCGGGAACCGUGCCUCCAAAACCUUCCAAAACGUGAAAUAUGUAUCAGCCGCCCCCUUUUGUUACCUAAUGCCUCUUGCCAAGCCGUCAAUAUCUUCUUUGAUGUGUUGUGCGGCUCCUUUAUAAUGUUCCAAACCUAAUCUUUUCUUUCUUUCCAAGUCAACUCACGUGAUUGCUUUUCUCCUUGGCCCAUUUAGCACUUCUUCAAUUUUCAUUGGUCCAUCCAAUUAAUUCAUAAGACCAUGACUUUUGUUUUAUUCUUUUACUAGCCAACUAGCAUGGAAACCCGUGCCAAGCACGGGCUAGAAUUCCGUCAAACUUAAAGGAGAUAAUAUUGUGAUGUAGCAAAAAAUUCAGUUAAAGUCCAACAUCAGAUGAAAGAGUGCAAGUUGAACAUCAAAAGAGUGAAAAAACUCAUACUUAAGCGUUAAAAUUUUGGAUGGAAAUGUAGUCUUGUUUUCACAUGUUGUUGCCCUUUCUUCAAUGCGUCGAUCCACAUUAGUGUUCGCUCCUCCAGAAAGCGCAACGGUGGUAUGAUAUUUUGGUUCAAAGUUCUGUGGGAACGAGAGUGUUUUAGGUGGUGGAUCAUGAACACGGAGAGUCUAACUUUAAUGGAGAGAUGUUAAUGUGUUCAAUGUAAGUUAAAAUUUCACAUUGUAAGCAAGAGCAAGAGUAGCUGUGAGCGACAUAUAAAUUAUCCAUGUCGUAAUGUCUUGAGACUUCGGAUGAAGAUGUGAUAUUAAUCUCACUCGUGUGAUUGUUCUUAGGCUAAUGUGAUCAUACAUCUCAAUUUAGAAUCUCACAAAAGUCCCAACAUUAUGAUAAUUUGAUUUCUAUAUUUUUUAAUGUCGUUUUGUUUAAUUUUUUUAUCUUA